rnacentral:lncRNA from 1 species
UCUUGUAAUAAUAAUAAUAUAAUAUAUCCAUAUUAAUGGCCUGUUUGAUUUUUCUAAAAUGUUAUGCUAUCAUUUUUUUUUUGGCUAAAUAUAGAAAAUUUUUCAGUCAAAAUUUAAUUUUUUACAUUUUCUCCCUGUCAUUUAAAAAUCUAUACUUUGCCCCCUUAAAAAUAAAAAAUAUUCACUUCACCCCCUACCGUUAGGGAUCCGGUAGGGUUCCGUUAUAAAAUAUUUUUUAGGCCAAAAAUAUCCUCUGUCCUUCCUACUGUGCUUUGCACUCCUCUGCCUCUCGACUCGCCCUUCUUCACUGUCUCACCCUCGCCCACAUUUCUGUCCGCACCCACAAACACCCUCUCACCCUCCUCCACUGCCUCGCCUUUGCCCUCGUUGUCUUUGCCUAUCUUUUCAUCCACGCUCAUCUUGAUUUCCUUCCUACCGUCGCCGAAAUGGAGGGGCGACGAAAGUACAGGAGAAAAAAGGCAGCAGGUGGAGAAGAAAAUGGAGAGGAAUCAUGGUUGAUCGAGGCGCGAACUGCGGCCGAUUGAGGCUGCAGAUGAGCAAGAUAAGGGAGGAGACGAAAAUGAUGAGAGGCAAAAUAAUUAUUUUGUCAUUAUAUUUCACACCGUAAUCUUCAUUUUGAAACUAUGUCCUUACGUCUGAUGUAAAAGUAAAGAGAGUGUAAAUUUAUUUAAAUAUCUAUGUGAAAAU